rnacentral:lncRNA from 1 species
AAUUUUCCAGAAGAGGCUUAUGUCAGGUAUUCUGUCAUAGGAAUGAGACGUUCAAAUGACAUGGAAAACUGCUCUGGAGAAGGUGGACCUUCACUGUGACUAGAUUAUCUUGUGGAUCAGUAGCCCUGAGUGUUGGAAGUUGAGAAAAGCUUAGAGAAGAAAGGGUCAUGGACCUCUCAAGCAAUCCCCGAGAGAAGGAGCUGUGGAGAUGAAGUCAAAGAGGCAAUGACGAAUGCAGGAAGUUGAAGAUGCCAGGAAUGUGAAAUGCAUGCCAAGGAAAGCCACAGUCAUUGAGCAGAGGUAGCCCAGGGGAGAAGCCAUGUGUUUUAUAGCCAGCAAUGUAUGAACAGGGCUAUCCAUUCCCUUGACAGUUCAUACCAUGUUACCACAUAUGCAGGAUUCCAGACACAAAGCAGCAGGAUUACAGAAGUGUUUGUUCUGCUGGGUCUCAAUCUUAUUGUGAUCCCAUCCAGCCUAUCUAUGUCCUCAUUCUCC